rnacentral:lncRNA from 1 species
GAGGGCGCUGCGCGUCAGGGCUGCGGGGCGGCUUUGCUGAGGCGCGAUUCGGCUCCUCGCCAGUCACCUCAGCCCGAGUCCUCCCUACCAGCCUGAGAGCUGGCACCAUAGUGAUGAAGCCCCUGAGCAGGAGUGCAAGAGCCAAAGGAAGAUGCUGAAGAACACAGAAGAAUGCCUUCAGAUAAGGAGAGACAGAGCUUCCUAUGACAGCAGGAAGGUUUGAAUCUGCUGUCAUUUAAAAUCCCAUUCCAAAGGUCAUGUUUGUGUUUUAAAUGAAAUGCGAGGCUGACCUUUAUGCUCUGCCAGACAACAGUAGUAGUGAUGCAAGUGCUUCCUUUGAAUUCUGCAGGUAAGGAGUAGCUACAAUGUGGGGUUUG